rnacentral:tRNA from 1 species
CAGUGGAUAGUUUAUAAAAAUAUUAAUUUUGGAGAUUAGAGAUGAAAUUUUUCUCUACUGA